AAAAUCCUUAUCAGCUAAAAUCGCAAACCAAUUUAUUGAGUCCCUUGAAGCCGCCAAAUGCAGCGACAAAAGCCAAACUAAAACAAAAAGCAGCAGGCCCGUGAAAAGCGCAAAGAAAAUUCGUAACAAGUGUUUUUCUUUGCCAAGCCAAAGAGAGAGGAAUAGCGUAGCCCAGAGAGAGGGCUCUCGGCUGGGAGAGCCAGGAAAAGCUUUCGACUUGGCCGAAUGCGAGGCAUCUCAGUAAUCGCUUCAGUCGACUUUGAGAUUCCUGGCCAGAAACGACGGAGAACGAAGGUUUCCAGGACGGCCGCGUCGGGUGCUCUAGAAAAGGAUAGUUGGAAAAACGCCAGCGGCAGCUAGCGCCAGAAACGCUGCUGUCACAGUUUCCACCUAAGUCGAAGGAAAACAAGUGAAAAGGCAAAGGCUCGUUCAAGUGGCAGUUGCUUUUUUUGGGCCAAGCCAGCGGUUCGUUUCGCUCGACCGGAUCACUAUGAGCGACAAAGGAGCUCGGUAAUGGUGAUAGCAUGACGCGCGACGGCGAAAUUCCAGCCAUUUUCAAUCCGAAAAGAGUGCGCACUCCUUCCGUGGUGGUCACCGGCGACUCCUCGACGAAUGGACCGUACAGCAAUAACAGCACCGGCGGAGCGGGAGCCAGCAGCAGCACGGCAGUGGCCCCUGGAUCGUCUGCCCAGAACGGCAGCGGCAGUGGCAGCGGAGCAGCGGGCAGCUGCGGGUUCAGCAACGUGCUCACCUCGAGCAACCCGCAAAUAACCCACCAAGACUCGAUUUCGUCGAGCCAACAGGACCCCAAUGAGGUGAUCAUCAUCCCGGCGGACACGCCCACGAGCGCACCGGGCAGCCACAAUGCAGCACACCACUUUGGAGGCGGCGACUCCAGCGACACCCAGACGGAGCAGCAGCAAGCCAACGGGCACGGCGAGGAGUCAGAGCUUCGCUUUCGGAAGCUGCAAGCCUGCAAGGAGUCAUGCUGCUCCGAGCUGGCCCGAAAGAUGUACUUCGGAGUGUGCGUGACCAUCCUGAUGACCGCCUCGUGGGUGGGGGCCACCCAUUGCAUUAAGUACAUGUACAAGUACCGUGCUCCGUACGACGACUUGCUGAACGACGACCAGGACACUUCCUCGAGCCGAGCCGAUCUGAGCACGGAGCUGGAGGACAUACUGGCCAUCAGCGACUCGUCGCUGCACCACGUCGAGGACGCCACCGAGAUGUUCAACAUACCACCGCGCCAGCCGGUCUACUUCAGCGCCCCCUUCUUCGCCGCCUGGUUCUUCACCAACUUCUCGCUGCUCUUCUUCCCCAUCUACCUGCUGGGUCUGGUCUCCACCCGCAAGUGCGAGAAGCUGAGCGACAUCCUUGGCGAUGUGCUGCGAGGAUUCCGGGAGCGCGGCUUCACCGUGGGUCGCUUCCUCAAUCGCUGCCUCUGCUUCUGCAUUUUGUGGCUGGUCACCACCUACCUGUACACCCUCUCCCUGCACGUCCUCUACGCCACGGAUGCCCUGGCCCUGUUCGCCACCAACGUGGCAUGCGUGUACCUGCUAUCCUGGGUAAUCCUGCACGAGCAGUUCGUGGGCGUCAGAAUAGUGGCCAUUAUUCUUUGCGACACAGGAAUAGCGCUGCUAGCCUACAUGGAUGGAAUCACGGAAAGCCGAACCCUGAGCGGCGUGGUCCUGGCCACAUUGGCCGGAGCUGGCUAUGCCGUGUUUAGGGUUAUGUUCCGCAAGGUGAUGGGCGAUCCGCCGGUGAGCCAAAUCGCCUUCAUAUUCACCGCACUCGGCUUUCUCAACGCCCUGCUGCUGUGGCCCGUGGUGCUGGGACUCUACCUGACUGGCACGGAAAGCCUCACCUCGGAGAGCAUACCCUGGAACCUGCUGUUCGCGGCGAGCCUCCUGCUCCUUGUUUUCCACGUUCUGAUGCAGUUCAGUGCCGCCGUUACGUACAACAUGUUUGUGACAUUGGGUCUGAUUACGGCUGUGCCCGUUUCUGGCGCCCUCGAUGUCAUACUGUACAGUGCGAACUUUGCUGGCAUGAAACUGGCCGGAGUUAUCCUGAUUGGCAUCGGUUUUUUUCUCGUCAUGUUUCCCGCCAACUGGCCAGACUAUAUAACGCGAUUGUUGCGAAGCAUCAUAAUGUUGGGUCACAAUGCGAGGAAUACCUUACUCUAAAUACCCAGCCCAUACCGAGACAAGCAAUCAACAAACUUACUAAUAUAUUUAUCAAAAUCCAACUGUAAGCGAAGUAUGUUUUUCAUUCGAUUUCGUUAUAAUCCUUAGUCAACUCUUGCCUAGACUUUUGAUAAUUCGGGUUUGAUUUGGUUUCGUUUGGUUUGAUUAGGAUUGCAAGUGAAUCUCCUCACCUUACAUCUCGCAUCUAAGUUUUGAUUUCCACAUCCUUUUCGUAAGCUAAUCUGAGUAACAGUAUGAUAGCAUUUGAUUAAUAAGUAAAGUUUGACCGAGUAGUCCCGGUCUGCCAGAUUUCGGUUAACUCUAUUUUUGGCCCAGUGCUAAGGUAAGUCGAUCCGAGAGUCUGCAUUGCCCACCGCCAGCCAAAGUCACCUCACAUAAAGUGCAUCGAUGGGAUGCGAAUGACAGACUCACCCAAUCACCCAAGAACCACCAACCCACCCACUCACUUUCGGAGACACCGGAGUAAAUGCAAUGAUCAUGAUCUUCCGUUGAACCGUUUCUUGUAUGAUAUUCUUUUUCGAGGCCAUCUGAAAUCGAUUGCUGGUUGUCAACGAUGCAGCGGCCAAGGACUCACGCCCAUUUCGAGAACGUUCUCACAAAACAGCUUAGCCGCUGUAUCGUUUACAAACGUUGUUCAGAGAUCUAGCAGCUCUCUAGCAGUAGAGUCUCCUUAUUUGUAUAUAGUAACACCGCUAAUCUGUACUAUUGCUUCUUUUCUUCUUGUUUUUCUUCUUCACCUCCACAACCUGCCUAUCUCUCUUUCUCUCUCUUUCUCUAUGUGUUUCUCUGGACUAUCUCCUCUUCUCGAACUGUUCUUUCUCUUUCUUCACACACCUACACCAAACACGUACACACAACUGGACGGAACCUGGCCAAAUUGAAUGACCUACGUUGCAAAAAUAAAAAAAAACUACACCGCAAAAAACUGUUGUACCUGACCCCACACAUUAAAUCCAUGUAGCGGUAGGCCAGCGCUUUGUAAACGAGAUGCUAUAGUCACAGGACCGUCCACCAGAUAUGCGCAGCGGCACAUCACGCGCACGCACCAUAUAAGCUAAGAGUUUUGGACAAGUCACUGAAUUGUACAGAAAACCAAAUAAGAAAACAGAACAAGACAAGAUAUAUUUUGUAAAAAGAUUUUCAAAAAAAGAAACUUAAAACCAAAGAAAAACUCUAACAAUCGAAUGCACCACUUGCCAGAUCGGGAUCGCAGCAUAUAUAUGCUACCCAUUACAAACAUAAACGAAAGUAUUACGCGGUCAAAACCGACUCAUAUGUUGUUUGAUCCAAUCGCAUGAAUGAUACCAAAAAAAAACAAACCAGCGUGUGGCUUCCGACUGUUUUCGCUUAGGCCCCUGUGCCACUGCCACGCCCACGCAACUCCCCAGAAAACCCAAAAAGUUUUUACAACUGUUAUGCGACUGUUAGGAACACUUUUGUACCAAACUACGAUAAGUCCCAUUCAAGUUUCCGACUGAGAAACUCAAACGAACGAACGGUGAGAGCAUCAUACGAUUAUUUUCGAUCAACUCCUGAAUCACUAGCUGCACCCCCAAUCCUCCAUGUACAGCUCACUAGAUCAAUCACUAUCCCAAAAUCAAAUAAAGGUUGAAAAGUUGUUGAAUCUUUUUUAAGUUCCGUUUGCUUUGUAACGUUACAGCUUGCCUAUGUUGUUGAGAAGUAUCUUUACUAUUCAAGCUACUUAUGAACUUUGGAGAGCACCGCUUAAUGUAACUAUUUCGGCACCCGUAACUUAAUACCCCGCUUUAGCCCUAAACACCAAAAUCCACACACACUCCACACACAACAACAACCCCACACAAAACACACGAUGUAUUUGUAAAAUAUAAAAGAAAAACACAGAACAUCAGUAAAAAAUCCGUAAAAGUCUUAGCGCUUAGGCUAUUGAAUGCGGGCACUGGAGACACGUGAUUCCACCCGGAACCCAAGUUCCGAGAAGUCCGCACAACCUGCAGUGCCCAGUCCUAAAAGAUAUAGUCAUGCAAGCGCUUACUCUAUGUAAAUGUGAGUGUACGUAGCGCCUUAGAGCUAAACACCUAAGAAAUGCCUAGAAAGUAACUAAAACUAAUGCCAAGCAGAAGAGAUCCCUACCCAGAUAGCUAGCCCAGCCGAUACUAACAGUUGACACUUUGUCUUCCA